rnacentral:rRNA from 1 species
GGGGCGGCCGGCGGCCUACACAUGCAAGUCGAACGGCAGCACAGAAGACGUCUUGUGUCUCUGUUGGGUGGCGAGUGGCGGACGGGUGAGUAAUGUCUGGCAUGCUGGCCGAUGGAGGGGGAUAACUACUGGAAACGGCUGCUAAUACCGCAUAACGUCACACGACCGAAGUGGGGGACCUUCAGGCCUCACACCGUCGGAUGUGCACGGAUGGGAUUAGCUAGUACGAGGUGUAACGGCUCAGCUAGGCGACGAUCCCUAGCUGGUCUGAAAGGAUGACCAGCCACACUGGAACUGAGACACGGUCCAGACUCCUACGGGAGGCAGCAGUGGGGAAUAUUGCACAAUGGGCGCGAGCCUGAUGCAGCCAUGCCGCGUGUAUGAAGAAGGCCUUCGGGUUGUAAAGUACUUUCAGCGGGGAGGAAGGCGACGCGGUUAAUAACCGCGUCCAUUGACCUUGCCCGCACAAAAAGCACCGGCUAACUCCGUGUCCGCGCCCGCGGUAAUACGUAAUGCUGCAAUCGUUAAUCGUUAAUUACUGUUCGUGAAGCGCACGCAGCUCGGUCUGUCAAUUCUUGAUGUGAAAUCCCCGGGCUUAACCUGGGAACUGCAUUCGAAACUGGCACGCUAGAGUCUUGUAUAGGGGGAUAGAAUUCCAAGUGUACCUGUGAAAUGCGUAUAGAUCUGAGAUGAAUACCGAUGCCAAAGGCGACCCCUGGACACAAGACUGACACUCACGUUCAAAAGCGUGAGCAGCGAACAGCGAUUAAAUACACUGGGACUCCACGCCCUAGACGAUGUCUACUUAGAGGCUGGUGCCCCUGAGAAGUCGCCUCCCUCACCUAUCCCCCUUAGUCAUCCCCCCGCCCGACUACGGGAGGCCGGGUGGGAACUUAAUAAAAUGUCUAGUGGGCGGCCCGCG